rnacentral:rRNA from 1 species
CCUACGGGUGGCAGCAGUGGGGAAUAUUGGGCAAUGGGGGCAAGCCUGACCCAGCAACGCCGCGUGAAGGAAGAAGGCUCUCGGAUUGUAAACUUCCUUUAAGAGGGAAGAGCAGAAGACGGUACCUCUUGAAUAAGCCAUGGCUAACUACGUGCCAGCAGCCGCGGUAAUACGUAGGUGGCAAGCGAUGUCCGGAUUUACUGGGUGUAAAGGGCGUGCAGCCGGGAAGACAAGUCAGAUGUGAAAUCCCGCGGCUCAACCGCGGAACUGCAUUUGAAACUGUGUGUCUUGAGUACCGGAGAGGUCGGCGGAAUUCCUGGUGUAGCGGUGAAAUGCGUAGAUAUAAGGAAGAACACCAGUGGCGAAGGCGGAUGACUGGACGGCAACUGACGGUGAGGCGCGAAGGCGUGGGGAGCGAACAGGAUUAGAUACCCGGGUAGUC